UUCACAUGUCCCCGGAUGUUUUCCCCAUUGAAUGUGAACUUUUCCUCUCUGAAAACUCUGAGUGCAUUCUCGAAUGCAUGCAUGAAAGAUGCGUUCUAAUGUAAUUACUGAACUUUUAAAUUCUCUUCAGCUUUGCCAAUGAGAGAUGGUGAGUCAGUGGAACUCUGGCGUAAAAUCUUUGUAUGAAUGAUGCUUCCUUAAGAUACGUUAAUAGAGGCAAUUAGAGGUCGUCUGAGAACUCUUGGCAGGACCAGCCCGGCAGGAGCCAGUCAUAGGGAAGGGUUUGCGCAGCUAUGCCAGAAACCCUUGCACUCUAAAUAGGAUUUCUGUAGGAACCUCCAUUUCCAAACAGUCCAAGAAGGGGGUAAUCUGUUGCCCUUGGGCUCUUAGGGGAAAAGCACAGCAGCACGCAGGCCCCAGGUGGCUGUGCAGACGUCAGCUGGUGGGGAAGAUGUGGUAGGUGAUGCGAAAGGUCAGGGUACCCCUGUGAUUCCUACAGGUGCGAAUUCCAGGGGGUCCUACUGAAAUUAGUAGCACGGACUACACAGACUCCUGAUGGGCCUCACGGUGAUGCUCUGCAGGUCAUUCCAGAAGCUGAGCUGGUAGCCAGAUGGAGAAGAGGCAGACUGCUGGGAUGGUUUUGUCCCACGAAAUACAGGAGCUGGGUCCGCCAGGAAGCUGCAGUCCUGGUGGGGUGGCCUGGAGGAGGUGGAGGGACAGUGGCCAGGAGCAGCUGGAGACGUUCCCAGGUGGGUUGGACCGUAGGAUCAUGACCCAAGCUGAAGGCACAUGCUUCACCGACUGAGCCACCCAGGCGCUCCGGGACUCACAUAUUCAGAUGGUACAAGGGGACAUCGAGGGCACACUGGACCCUGGGCCCCGGGGGUCCUACCAGUUCAGCUGACGGUCAGCCUCCAGGGAUCCCGCCAUCCCCCGCGGAGGAGACAGGCCUGGGGCGGCUGCAUCGGCGUCCCCGAUGUUCCCGCCGCCUUCUGUCCCUCAGAGGGUCUUUAGUCCGAUGACCUCCUGCACCCGUCUGUGCUUCUAAAGCAUCAUUCCCCAAACGCACAGGACACGGGUGUGGGCCGUGGGGACUGUGUAAUCAUCCAGACGUGUGUACCCCUCAGCUCCUUUCCCCGAGAUUGAUUGAUUGAUUGAUUGAAUGAUUGCUAGAGCAUGGGGAAGGGGCAGAGGGGAACCCCAAGCUCCACACCGAACACGGAGCCCAACGCGGCGCUCCAUCUCACGACCCCACGAUCACGACCCAAGCUGAAAUCAAGAGUUGGGCGCCCAACCCACUGAGUCCCCCAGACGCCCCUGUUCCUCAGCUCCCUUAGCCAGUGCCCUAUGCUAGACCUUUCCACCGCUUGUCACCCAUCAGGACUAUAAACUGGGCUGCAAUGAAUACCA